UACGAAGGGGGCUAGCGUUGUUCGGAACUACUGGGCUUAAAGGGUGCGCAGGCGGAUAUGUAAGUCAGUGGUGAAAUCUCUAGGCUUAACCUGGAAAUUGCCGUUGAUACUAUAUAUCUUGAAUGCUGUGGAGGUAAGCGGAAUAUGUCAUGUAGCGGUGAAAUGCUUAGAUAUGACAUAGAACACCUAUUGCGAAGGCAGCUUACUACGCAGAUAUUGACGCUCAUGCACGAAAGCGUGGGGAUCAAACAGG
rnacentral:rRNA from 1 species